AUAAUUUUAGUCCUAAUUGUUUUUUAAAAUUACACAUAUAUAUAUAUAUAUAUAUAUUUAUAUGUGGAUAUACGCUUCCAACACGUACCCGCUUCUUAAUAUUUUAAAAAAUCUCGCUUCUGCGCUUCCUUACGCUUCCGCUUCCACGUACCCGCUUCCGUUUUCAUGUAACAUAGGGCAAAACCAAUGGUGGUGUUAUUCCCUGAAACACAAAACAUAAAGUGAAUAAGUAUUAUACCAUUAUUUUAUAUGUCCUUAUAAAUGUAUAUAUAUAUAUAUACCUCAAGAAUAUUACUACUUUCAGAAAUAGACAAAUCUUGUUUACUAGAAACUUCAUCUCGGGGUUCUAUUAUAUUUGGUACUAUCAGUGGUGACUUUGUGUUUCUAUCUGCAACAUAAAAACAUGAAGCUAAUAAGAUUGUACAAUUAUUUUAUAAGUCUUUAUAAAUGUAAACAUUGUAAUAAAAUCUCAGACACGAAAUGAACAAGUUUUGACUAAUAUGUUAUAAGUCCUUGAAAGUGUUAAAUUGUAAUAAACACCUCAAAAUUUUGCUACUUCCAGCAAUGAGGAAGUCUUGAUUACUAAAACGUUGUUUCGUGUAUGUAUCAUGUUUGACAUAAUUAAUUGUGAUCUAUGCCUUUCCAUUUGCAACAUAAAAACAUGAACUCAAUUGUCUCUAUACAAUAAUUUUUAAAGUCGUUAUGAAAAUGUAAAAGGAGUCCUAAAUAUCUCUACGGCAUUACUAUAGACAACCUUGUUUGGCACAAUCAAAGAGAGUGUGUACAUAUAUUUUUGCAAUAUAAAAACACGAAACUAGUUAUUGUGUCAAAGUAGAUAACAAAGCCUUAUAAAUAAAACAUGACCAAAGAGUUAAUAACCUCAUAAAUUGUUACAAAAAGCUUAAGAAGUCCUUCACUUUCUUUAUGUUUGCUCACAAAGGAGGCCACUUGGAGAUCAUUCCUAAUAAAAACUGGAAGAACCUCUUUUGUACCAAAGAACCUCUUUUGUGUAUUACUUAUAUACUCUUAUAAAACUGUAUCCAUUAAUAAGAGUUUAUAAUUAUUUAUAAGUAUUUAUAAUUUGGUUAAAAACAAAUAAUACUUUAUAGAAACUAAAGCAAAUAGAUUUUCAAAUUUGGUUUAUAAAUUUUGUUUACAAAAGUUCAUAAUCGGUAUAACAAAUAUAUCAUUUAUAAGAGUUUAUAAGUAAUCAUUAUAAGAGAUAUAUGUACCGUUUAUAAGAGUCUAAAUUCAUUUAUAAAAUUAUAAACUAUUUAUAACGUUUAUUAGUCAUUUAUAAGGGUUUAUAAAAUUUUAUAAUUUAAUUACAAGAGUCCACAAAUCCUUUUAUAAAGUUUUAUAAUGAUUCAUAUAUAAAUCAGUUACAAGAGUUCAUAAAUCAUCAUUUUAUAAGAGCUUGUAAUGUAAGAGUUUAUAAAAUGUAGAAGUGCUUAUAAAUAAUUUUGUAAGUGCUAAUAAAAUACUUUUGUGAAGGUUGUUAAAUAAUUUAUUAUCAGUUACAAAAGUGUAUAGAUCAUUUUAAAUAACUUCAUAAAUCUUUCUACAAGGCUUACCAUAAUUUACAAAAUACUUAAUAUUUAUAAAUUUAUUUAUAACGGCUUAUAAAUUAUUUAAAUAGUUAACAUUUGUAAUGAUUUAUAAACCAUCCAUCUUUGGCCUCCAUUGAUUUCCUAAUCUUCUUCACAUACAUGGGAUACGUCAAUAGGUGGUUCAGAGCAAAAUAUGAACUCAUAUAACACAUUUAACAUUGAAAGCUAGUGAUGAACAUAUGCAAGGCAAGAAGAAAUAUGUUUCCUUAGCUCAACAAACUCAUUGUUCACUCUCCACUGCUUUUUCAGUUAUUCUACACAAAACGAUACAUAAAAGACAUCUUAUAUAAUAAAGGGGAGUUGUCUCUCUCCUUAGGCUAUCCAGCUCAGCAAGGAGAGAGGGGCAUUCUGCUCCACGUGUUAGACUCUUCUUCACUCAUUUCACGUUUUUUUGUCUUCCUGAAUUUUGUUGAAUGGGCCAGGUUUGGUUUUCGAGAAAUUUAUUAGGCUUUAUACUGUUUUUGUGCAAACAGACCCAAUGAUAAUAAGGUUUCUUCUUUCUUGAUGAUAGAGACGGAGAACAGAAGCGCCAUGCCUUUCCAGAUCAUACCGUCUCCUAAGAAGCUUGUGUAACGGCUGCAAUUAUCAUUUAGUAAUCCUUUUCAACAUUUUAGAUUUUACUAUAUAUUAAUCCUCUCAUGUAUUGAUAAUUUCUCUUCAGUCUUCACGAUUCUCACAAAAACUUGCCUUCCCACAAUCCUAUUUGGAAACAACUUCCGCUUCCAUGUUUAGAAGGGCUUUGUCUUGAUGAUUUAUGUUUCGAAGCCAUGGUUAGAAAAUCUACAGAUUUAUCGGACAAGCUAUUGAAGGAUACGAUGGACAGGAGGAUGGAAUCAAAUUUUUUGGGUUAAGUGGAAAUCUGACCGAAGAUGCUUUAGAUUAAAUCAAUGAUAUUGUUUCUUCCAUGAAUGCCUCCGAUGAAUCCAAGUCAGGUCUUUUGUUCUGGAAGGAAAACAAAUUCGCCGCUCUUGCUUAAGAAUACGUAUCUUCUGAGCAAAUUGUCCAGAUCGCCAAAUGUUCGAUCCAAUGAAAAUAUUGGUGCAUAUGCUCUAAAACAAUUUGAUCUUGGGAGGAUAUUUUCCGCGACAAGUGUUCUAAUAAGCUCCAACGUGUAGACUUGAGAAUCUUCUUUCACAUGCGAAAAAUGUUGUCACGUACACGUUGCUGAUGUUGUCAGGUAACCCUUAACCAUUUCUACUUCUACCUCGCUUUAACCUGGUAAUAAGUGCUGUCAGCGAACUAACCAUGUCUCUGGAAUUUCAUACCUGAACUGCAUGCGUGUACCGUUUGGAGAUGGAACAGUCUCCACAUUGUUUGGAUUCGAUGCUGAGAUGAAACGGCUUACAAAUAUCUGGGCCGUAGAGUUUGGACUAAAACAUAUGAUUCAAACGUAGCGUCAAGGUGUGCCAGACCCCUGACUUACCAACAUCACAGCAACUUUGAGAGCGUGUCGUCCACCUAUGCAAAUAGUUUCGGUGAACCGGCUGAGAAAGGAUGCUGUCCCAUGCGGGUUUAGGUCAUGUUCCUUGCUUCCCAACAAUUGCCCAUAAGUUCCAGCCUCUGCCUUAUGUUCAGUCCAAACCUAACAAGUAUUCGCCACAGUUACCGUUACGGUUUGACCACUGACACAAUGUCAUUCAUCAUGUAUCAAUUUAUGAACUGGUGGACCAUAUUUCUGUAAGUUAAGGUGAGAAAGCUUCUUGCAGCAUGUUUUGAAAAGGCCAACAAUGUCUUAGACACUCUUCACUUUUAAAUCAGUCCAAAACUUAACCACCGUUUCGUUCAAACUCACUUACAACCAACCCCACAAAUGUAUCAACACUUCUUUGGAAACAAAACAAAAAGACCAAAACGCUAAAAUGUAUCAACACUUCUUUGGAAACAAAACAAAAAAAACCAAAACGCUAAAAUGUUCACGUUAUAUGGCUUUCCAAAACGGCAAUAAAAUUGGCAGGAAACUCAAUUUCCACUUACCCAUAAUACUCAAACGUAAUAAGAACAAUAAAGUCAAUUCAAUCCAGCAACGAGAGAGCAAUGCGAAUGACAUUUCGAAAUCAACCGUGUA